UUCUCCCUGAGACUUAGAGUCUCCUGAAGGAACGUUGAAGACGACGACGUUGAUAGGCCGAGUGUGUAAGCGCAGCGAUGCGUUGAGCUAACCGGUACUAAUGAACCGUGAGGCUUAACCUUACAACGCCGAAG
rnacentral:rRNA from 1 species